rnacentral:rRNA from 1 species
GAUGAACGCUGGCGGCGUGCCUAAUACAUGCAAGUCGAGCGAACGGACGAGAAGCUUGCUUUUCUGAUGUUAGCGGCGGACGGGUGAGUAACACGUGGAUAACCUACCUAUAAGACUGGGAUAACUUCGGGAAACCGGAGCUAAUACCGGAUAAUAUUUUGAACCGCAUGGUUCAAAAGUGAAAGACGGUCUUGCUGUCACUUAUAGAUGGAUCCGCGCUGCAUUAGCUAGUUGGUAAGGUAACGGCUUACCAAGGCAACGAUGCAUAGCCGACCUGAGAGGGUGGUCGGCAACACUGGAACUGAGACACGGUCAAGACUCCUACGGGAGGCAGCAGUAGGGAAUCUUCCGCAAUGGGCGAAAGACUGACGGAGCAACGCCGCGUGACUGAGGAAGGUCUUCGGAUCGUGAAACUCUGUUAUUAGGGAAGAACAUAUGUGUAAGUAACUGUGCACAUCUUGACGGUACCUAAUCAGAAAGCCACGGCUAACUACGUG